AUGACGAUUGAAGUGCGCCUUCCGGAUAAUAAACUUGAACUGGGAUGGUUGGAAUCCUACGAUUUGAAAUACAAUGUUGCGGUUAUCAACAUCGGUCGCUACCAUUCUCUUCAAGUAACAUGUCUAGAUCAUCAGCGGCAAUUUGAGUCUCACAGUAAAGUAGUUGCCGUAGGGCGUUGCUUCAACUCAGGAAAACUAGUGGCCACAGCUGGGAUGUUGACCGACAAUCCACAAGGAGCUUACCGGGAGGAGCUUGCCAUCUCCACAUGUGAAAUUACUAUGACUGGAGUUGGAGGGCCCCUUGUUGAUUUUAAUGGGGACUUCAUCGGGAUGAACUUUUAUGCUGAGAAAGAGACUCCAUUCCUACCAAGGAUUAAAAUUCUUGAACUCCUGUCGCAGUUCAGGAAAACAAUUCAGUGGAUGGCUACAAAUAAGAAAGGACCUGGUAGUAAAAUUGAAAGAUUUCCUAGACCUUGUAAACCUGAUUCAGAAGUCAGCUCAAGGAAGGGAGAGAAACUUAAGGAUCAGAAACCUUCCAUAUGUACUCUCUGUGAUCCAGAAUGUCAACCAGGACUCAUGGAUAGAUUAUUAUUAGAGCGGAAGUCUUUAUGUUCUGGGCGGCCGAGUUAUCCUUAUUUUGGCGUUCCUACAAAAAAGGAGCUGAGGUCCAAUGGUUAUCCCCUCCCAGUUUGGCAGAAUGUGGGCAUGCGUUUGCUUAACAAUUUUGAAGAGAAAUUUAGUGAAGAUAUCUGGAGUAAACUCGAAAGAAACGUUGCUUCAAAUAUGUCUCAAAGUGUUGUUGCAUUGGCUUCAUUCAGUGGGUAG
rnacentral:rRNA from 1 species